rnacentral:rRNA from 1 species
GACGAACGCUGGCGGCGUGCUUAACACAUGCAAGUCGAACGGAAAGGCCCUGCUUUUGUGGGGUGCUCGAGUGGCGACCGGGUGAGUAACACGUGAGUAACCUGCCCUUGACUGUGGGAUAACUUCAGGAAACUUGGUCUAAUACCGGAUAGGAGCUCCUGCUUCAUGGUGGGGGUUGGAAAGUUUCGGCGGUUGGGGAUGGACUCGCGGCUUAUCAGCUUGUUGGUUGGGUAGUGGCUUACCAAGGCUUUGACGGGUAGCCGGCCUGAGCGGGUGACCGGACACAUUGGGACUGAGAUACGGCCCAGACUCGUACGGGAGGCAGCAGUGGGGAAUAUUGCACAAUGGGCGGAAGCCUGAUGCAGCAAAGCCGCGUGGGGGAUGACGGCAUUCGGGUUGUAAACCGAUUUCGCCUGUGACGAAGCGUGAGUGACGGUAAUGGGUAAAGAAGCACCGGCUAACUACGUG